CUUCAAUCUGAAAUAUAUUUAACCAACAGUAAGAAAACUACCAUUAAAAUGAAAAGAAUUGGUCACUAUUAUUACAAUAAUUUUAAGAUAAAAGCAUACAUCCUAAUGAAGUGAAGAUUAAGUAAAACAAGCAUUGUACAGUAAUAAAAUUUAUGAAUAUUCAUGAAAAGUGCCAGAUUAAUAGCCUUGAAAAAUAAAGUAUUCUAUCCACAGACCAAACACAAUUCAGGAAAUAAAAGAAUACCAACUCCCCCACCCAUAGAAUUCUGCUUCAUGUUUUAAACUCAGAUUUAACACAUAAUUAUGUCUUACACUCCAUCUAUCUCCGUUCAAUCAUGCCCUUUCUGCAAAAGCUGACAUGUAGCAACUGUACGGAUUUUUUGGUAAUUCUUGGAAGUAGUAGCCAGAGAUCAUUGCUCAAAUGACACUAGAUUUUAUUAUUUUUGGUAAUAAAUUCCCUGGUAGUCUGACUCGUCUUUUAAAUGGUGAAUUUCAAAGGUUAAAGAAAAGGUUUUUUUUACCUGAUAAUUGUUUUCUGUUUUCCAGUUCCAUUAAUCCAGAACGAAUGGGUUUCCUCCCUGCAACCUGUCAAUCAAACAGAGGUGGCCAAUCACCACUCUGAAUUUUUUGCUCUCAGUGCUUCUUCAGACUAUGUUCCAGUUGAAAACUUCUUUAGCAGUGUUCUGAAAGAGGUAAAAAUUCUACCCUAUCUAAAGCACAUCUAGGGACUGAAUUUCAGAAACAACUAAAAUAGGGAGUUGACUCCCUAACAAAUAACAACUAAGGAUGAUUUUCAACAAAUGCUGUUGGAUUUCUGGAUUAGCAGAAUCGGAACACACACACAUUAUCAGUUGAAUUCACAGAUGUGACACCCGCAGAUAAGGAAGGCCUGCUGUACAUGAAUUCUUCCUGUGUCUCUUCUGCAAAAAAACCUGCCAUAGCCAUCUGUACUGUCAUGGAUAACCUAGGGCUUACCUAUACCACACAUCUCAUUCUCCUUACAAUUUAGUUUUAAUAUAAGAAGAAGCUGCAUUCGACUAUGUUGCCACCUAAAUUUUCUUAUCAAAAACUCCUCAUCCAACCAUCCUUUUCUUACCUGUGAUGCCUAAGCUCAAAUACGGCUGUUUUUGAGUGUGUAAGGUAAAUAAAGGAGGACCUGCCUCACAACUGAUGAUUGCCUUCUCUGUAGUAACUUGUCAACUUACAUUCAUCACUAUUCAAUAAGAUAACAGUUUGUGAUUUUUCAGUACCCUGCUUUAUCAAAUUCCAUCAAGAAAAAACAUGUUAUCAUUUUCACCAAUUUGUUAUAAAAUACUUACACUCCUCUAUAUUCCAUAGGUCCAAUAACAUUAUUCACUGCAAAGUAAUUUAUUAACUCACAAUUUCCUCAUAAUUUCAUUGACAUAGCUUCUCAAAAAAUAAUAGAAACUGAGAAUGUUCACAUUUAAAAUGUCUUUCUAAAAUUUUAAAUUUGAUUCCUAUAAUAGCCUUUGCCACUUUUAGAUAUAACCACAAAAGCAACUUAAAUAUCCUAAAAUUAGCUGUUAAAAAUUUUUUUCUAAGUAAAAGUGCAUUAAAAUAGGAAGUUAUUUUAAAUAAGUAUGUUUGGUAUUCUCUGGCAACUAAAGGCUACUUAGCUUAGUAUUACAGAUAUUUUUCUAUGAAUUCUGAAAUUUAUACAAGGAAACUACUAGUAAGAAUGAAACUAACCUAUUUAGUAUUACUUGUUCAGAGUAAGUUGUACAAGAUACAUUUUAUUUGUUACAAUUCUGUAGUGACAUGGUAAAUACCCACAAAACUUGAGAAAGGGAAGAAUGACUGUCAAUUGGUUUUAACUUAAGCUGAAGCUGCAUUAGACUAUUAUUAUUAUUAUUUUCUUAUUAUUCAUCCACAACUUUCCAGAUUAUGAAAAAAAAAAAGAAAACCAAAAACUAACUUACAAAGAAAUUCUGAAUCAACUAAAAAACUGAAAUCGGUUAGGAUUUAUUUUACCUAAAGCUAAAGUCUUUCUUGAAUUCUGUUUAAAAUAUAUAUAAACAGAUUGACAAAACAGAAGUCAAGACAUCUCUUCUCUGACAGUUUCCAAAAAGAAUACAAACUAUUGUGAUGGUUGUAAAUCUCACAAAUAACUGUAUAGAAGGAGGCAGACGCCAUAGCCAAAUUCUCUUCAUAUAUUCCUAAAUGUCAUUUGAUGAUUACCCAAAGAAAAAAAGCUUUGCAUAUUCUCUAAUCCAUUCAGGAUAUGUCAACCACCCAAAUUAUUUCUUAAUGUUCAGUGUUCCAUAAAAACAAGUCACAGUAGAAAUCAGUAGCACAAUUUUUCCAGAGGUCUAUCCACAAUGCCUUAACCAUGAUUUAUUUUUGGUAUUAAACAUUUUUCCUUUAUUUUUUAGACCUGUUUCAUCCUUGAGUCUAUAAAGUAAUUAUAGUAUCUUCCGAAGAUUUUUUUUUUCUUUUCUUGAGACAGGGUAUCACUGUGUCACCCACGCUGGAGGGCAGUGGCAUGGGGCACAGCUUAUUGCAGCUUCAACCUCCCUGGGCUCAGGCGAUCCUCUCACCUCAGCCUUCGGGGUAAUUGGGACUACAGGCAUGCGCCACUACACCUGGCUAAUUUUUUUUUUUAGUUUUUGUAGAGAUGGGGUUUUCCAUUUUGUCCAGGCUGGUCUCCAACUCAUGGCCUCCCAAAGUACUGGGAUUACAGGCAUGAGCCACCACACCUGGACUCUUCUGAAGUUUUAAUGUGGCCUUUUUAUACUGCAGAUUCUAUGUUCAGAAAGUAUAUACAUACUUGUGCCUGGAAUAAAAAUGUAAAUGCUUUUCUUAAAGAAAACUUUAUUAUAAAGCUCUAAGCAGAACAACCUUUACUACCACUACUAAAGUUCUGAUAAUAGCAAACCAAAACCCUUACAUAGUACUUGAUUCAUGCCAGUUAUUACUCACAGACCACACAAAGUAGAAGCUAUUAUUAGCCCAUUUUACAGAAUGGAAAACAGACUCCCUCAAUACGAUUCUGCCUCACAACAAUCAAAUAAAAACCAUUAUGGUUUGGGAAAGGGACAUUCCAGCUCCCGCUUUAUGCUCAUGCCGCUUUACAACUAUUUAAGAAUAUUAACAAUAUAGUAAGUAUUGCAUUUAAAAAGUUUGUAAAUGCCUCAAAUUUUAAAAAAUGGUAUAAGCAUCAAUAGAAUAAUUCUAUAUGUAAGAAAGAAUGAAGAAUGCUCCUUCAGCCUCUCAGCAACAUAUUCACACCUAACAUUUUAUUCAUCAUAUAACCCUUCACGCCUAACAUAUUUUAUUCAUCAUUAUAACGACCAUAUGAGAUUAAAGCUGUUUUAGAGACUACCACGCAAAGCUUCUAUUUCAUUGAUACUCUACUAAAAAAGGAAAUAGUAACUCUACUACAACUACACACAUUUACUUUAUUACAUGUUCACCCAACCCCAAAAAAUUAUAAUAAUCAAGUGUUGAAACUAUGUUAUCUUCAAUAUAGAAUGGGAAUCCCUACUUCUAAAACAUUUAAUAUGAUAUCUUUUUUUUUUCCCUGAAAGUUGUCUCUAGGUUUUAUACCUUAACUUUCACAUUAAUCAGCACACACUAAAUAAAUGUAUACCUAAGAUAUAUACUUAAAUAAAUCCUAUCCAUCAUUCCUAUUCAUCUCUGAAUUUGAGACCAACAAUAAUGAAAACUAGUACUUAAACUAUGAUGGAAAUCAUGGUAAUUUUGGGGCAUUUUACAACGUAGUUAGUGUCUCAAAUCAUCUUUGCAACAAGAAAUGAUAUUACCACCAAAGAAUGGCACUAUGAAAAGCAUUUAUAUAAUUUUGUAACCUAUGUGAUUUCUACUUUUCUGUGUUUUGGAAAACUAAGCUCUAAGAAUGAAAUAAAGCUUAGUUCUUAAAUACAAUGUACUGCUAUUUCUAGUUCAAAAUCACAGAUUUUCAGAUUGAAAAAAUUUCAAUCCACUUAUUUUUCAAAUGAGAUAACUGGGACAAAGAGAAAUUCCAUGACUUGCCCAAGAUUACCUACAGUUUAACUGUCAGCGGGGCUUAAAACCACAAUCCACAUCUCCUGACUCCCAAUCCUUUCACUUAAAACAAACAAGCAAACAAACAAAAAAGAUUUCUAAUAAAGUGGAAUAAUUUUAAGAAAGGCAAGUAUCACUAUUUUACAAGGAAAAAAUUAAAUCAUUUUAACAGAUUGGCAAAACAUGAACUAGUUCUUGGGGGGAAAAAAGAGAAGUCUUACAAGAAAAAAUGUAAUCAAGAGAGUGCCAAAUUCGGUAAAAUGCUUGAAAAUUCUGCCUCUAGAUCUCGUAAAUAUGCAAUCAUCAUUAAGUGACAACUAGAAAGCAGACUUAAUAAACUAACUAGAUUCACUAUUCAAACUAAGAAAUAAACAAAUGACAAAGCUUUCCUUUCGUCCAAAAAAAGUUUUUUAUUCUACAGUUUAAGAAUUCUGAUACUUGGAAAAAGUGCCCCUUUUCUUUAAAAUAAAUCUCAUAUUUUAAAAAAUGUAAAAUCUAAUUAAACGUAUACCAUAGUACCAAAAACAACUUUUAGCUUCCUAUCCAAUUCCAUUUACUUUGUUAAAAAUGUUUUAAAUCUUAAGGUAGAUGGUGAUAAUCAGUCAUGUUUUAUACCAGAGACAGAAACAACCAUAAGAUACGACCAUUUCCUUUCUCAAUCACACUUGAAAUGAACGCAUCAAUUUUAACCUGCAAACUUUUAAAACUGCUCUUAAAAUUCUACUUUCCUCUUGAUUAAAAUUCAACCAUUGCGAUUGUAACUAGACUAACUACAGAUGAUCAGUGACUAUUUUUAAAUUCACAUCUACAAAUAUUACACCCCAUUUUAAGCAGCAAUAAUUUGAGGUUUCCUAGAAAUUUCAAUGCGAUGUGAUAUAUGAGUUCUCCCAUUUAAAAUAUUGCUCAGUUUAUUAGUUAAUACAACAAAUCAUUUCCAGGUAGAGUAGAAACUAAUGACUCAACAAGUAAUUUUCAAAUCAAUGUUAAAUAAAUUCAACUCGAUAUACAACAACGUAAAACUUUUUAAGUCAGAAUAAUUAAAAUAGAAAAUACUGUACAAGAGACUUUGCAUGUGCUGACUUAGAUAUUAAACAGCGAGAUCAACUAUUGAACAAAAAAAUCCAGUGUUCCAAAUGUUUUUAGACCUAACUAAAUCUCAACUAAAAAGGUAAAAUAAAGUUAACUCACACACCUAGAUAUACAGUUUGAUGGAUGAGAAAGCACCUCAAAUGGUACCUUGCAUCCAGUAGAUAUAGAGUAAGCAAUAUGCUGAAUGAAUGAAAAGAGAAAACGAGUCAAAGAACUCCAAGUUCUAAUAAGAUUUCUAAACUGUCUGAUGAGUAUGCCAACGUUCCUGUUCUAGUAAGGAGAAAACUCCAAGCAAGAAAAACCACUUCCAUUCAAAAUAGGUGAAUUUUGAGCAUAAUACAUAGAUAGAAAGAAUGCUUACUGUAUCUUAAAUCUGCGAUGCAGACUAGGGAUAGAAAUUCACUUUACUAAUAAUUCCUCCCCCCACCCUCCCCCCAAAAAUUAAAUUAACUCAAAAUCAAAAUUGAUAGCUCAUUUUUACUGAAAAAAAAAACAAAAAAACAAAAUGAUAUUCCUACGAGGAUUAGCCAUUACCAUAAUUUAGCCAGAUAACAUUAAGCUGCUUCAUUUAAAAAAUGUAACAUUACCAAAAGAUUAAGAAAAUGCAGCAUUCCUCAGUGACUUAAGGUUUGUGGGUUUUUAAGAGAUGCACAGAUGUAAAAGCAGAUGCAAAGACGAGUUUUGUAAAACCUGCCCCAUCUUAAAAAUGGAGUAUUAUAAUCUUUGCGAUAAUUUUUUCAAAUAUCAAGGAAGACAUGUAAAUUCACUGAAGACUUCUAUCAAGUAUUUGUAAACCUAAAAAUUAAUUUCAAAUUAGUAAAUCUUGGAGUUUACUUCCAGCUCCAUUCACUUUGGCCAAGAAUUGAAUGAAAGUAACCCAAAUCACUCCUUGAAAAUUAACACACGUUCAGUGUGAAAAUGAAUACACUAAUACACUGUUAAAUCUCCAUUAGAUGUAUUAAACCUCAGUACCCUUGCUUAUUUCAACAGCCUUGAGCGGUUAUCAACAUCUUAUAUUAAACCACAAGAGAUUUAUACACAAAAGUUAGGAAAUACACUACAUACCAAAAAAAGCGCCAUUAUAAUCAUGUCCUGCUUUCACCUCACAAAAGACACUCAUUCUAAGCUCGCUGAAACUUCCUAGUCAUUAGAGAAGUUCUGAUGAAGUAACAUUAGUAAUCAUAACUAUCUCAAAACAGUUACAAAAGCCUCAUAAAAUCAACACACUACAUAAAUUUCAAAGGCUUGGUGGGUCCGGUGCGACUGCUUUAACUGCCCCACACACAUAUUCACACAACGAACCUGUAUCAGUUUAGGAGAAAGUGUUACAGAAAAUAUAGCUCCUUUAAAGUAACUUCCAAUCACAAUACUGAAGUGAUAAAUCCACUUCUGAAAAGCAAUUUUUAAAGAUUCCUAAAAUACUCAUUUUGACAACCCACAAAAUUAAGGUUUUUAAGCUAUUAAACAAAAUAUGUCCCAAUAUAAACACAACUUUCAUAGGCCAAGUUCCAUCCCACAGUAAAUAUGUGGACAAAAAUCAAAACUCUUCAGUGUACUCCAAUAAUAAUUUUUAAUUAAACGAGAGGCAUACCAUAAGAAUUAAAAAAAGCCUACUAAACUUCUGGUUUUAGGGAAUUACAGGCUUUACACUUCUGCAAAGAUGUGUUUUAGUAAAUGCAAGACGAAGCACUGACCAACUAUCAUCACACAUCAGAAUCCUUCCAACAAAAAACCCAGGACUGAAUUUAAGGAAAACAAAAUAAACGACAGAGGGGGAAAAAAUAAUGUCUUGCCACGGUACCGCAGCGGCUGGAUAGCCUGCUUGUGAAAUGCUAAUGCCACUUCGGAGCAGUUAGUCACCAGCUAUUGUGUAGGGCAGGAGAAAGCCGAGCCGGCCGCGCGUGCAGAGCGAGCAAGCGAACGAGCGAGCGCGCUCUCCCUCUUCGCGCCGCUCCCGCCGCCGCCGACUCUCGCGCGCCCCCGCGCCCGCACGGACGCGCGCGCCGGCCCCUCCUCCUCCGGCCUUGCACUGCACAACACUCAUGACGUAUCUUUAUUUCUAGCACAUUAACAAAAUAUCACAAAUAAAUUGUCCGCAGCCCCUGCGGCCCCGAA